UACGGAGGGUGCGAGCGUUGUCCGGAAUCAUUGGGCGUAAAGGGCGCGUAGGCGGCCUGAUAAGUAGGGGGUGAAAUCCUGCGGCUUAACCGCAGGGCUGCCUUCUAAACUGUCAGGCUCGAGCACAGUAGAGGCAGGUGGAAUUCCCGGUGUAGCGGUGGAAUGCGUAGAGAUCGGGAAGAACAUCAGUGGCGAAGGCGGCCUGCUGGGCUGUUGCUGACGCUGAGGCGCGACAGCGUGGGGAGCAAACAGG
rnacentral:rRNA from 1 species